CAGACCAACAUUAGAUCCAUCUCUGUCAAUUUUAAUCAUGGCAUUUGGGGAUAGAGGCUCAAUGUUUCUAAAUCUGUUACUAACUUCCUUAGCAGCCCUGACUCCCUAGGGCGUGUGACUGAUUCAGAACCAGACGGGGUGGGUGGGGGGUGGCUCAGUUGUUGGUAGAGUGCUGCCUGGCUUGCACAAAGUCCCAGGUUUUAGCCCCAGGGACGCAUAAUAAAACUGGCCAUGGUGAUCCCAGUACUCAGAAGUGCAGGCAGGAAGAUUAGGAACCCAAGGCCAACCUCAGCUACACACUUGUUGCCCAGAGAACACCCUGCAUCCAGCAAGGUCAACAGAAGUCUCAGCUUCCAAAUCUCCAUGGCAACCUUCCCCGUUGUCCUCACCACAGGGGGACUCCACUGCCCUGAACCAAAGGGUCUAAUUCAUGACCAGCUUCUCAUCAAGUUCAGAUUAUCCAUGUAUCUACAAAACCUAUUGUCUGACCCACUUCGAGGACUCUAUCCCAAAAGACCACAUCUUCAGGGCUAGGAGGCUGGUUCAGUGGUGAUGCUUGUCACGCAAGUGGGUUUGGAUCCCCAGAGCCUGUGGGAACACCGGACACAGCGGCCUGCAUCUACAAUCCCGCUGUCUUAGGUCGAUGGAGGCAGAGCCAGGAGACUGAAUCCAGAGAAGCUGGCAUGUGAUUAUUGGUCUAACACAACACAAUCCAAAGGUGAACUCAGCUGUCGAAAGCCUUGCUUCUGCAGAGUCACUCACCAGGACCUGGGACUUGCCAAUUAGACUAGACUGGAUGCCCAUCCAGCCUCUGGGAUCUUCCUGUCUCCAGGAAUUACAAGUCCCAGGAAUUGAACUCAGGUCUCCAGGCUUGGCAGCAAGCACCUUUCACACAGCCAUCUCAUGGGCCCUGGUUUUAUUGGUUUUCACGUGGGUUCUAGGGAUCCAGCUCUGUCCCGUGCUCUCAGGGCAGACACUUUGCCAGCUUGCCCAUCUUCCUGCCAGCGUAGACCAAAUGCUGCCGAGACCCCGAGCAGCACAGGCGUGACCGAGUCUGUGGGAUCUGUGGGUGGAAGCAGCAGGUGCAACCACAGCGAACUGGCUGCGGAAGCUUCACGUUUCGGCACUGAGGCCUGUUCAAUUAUUGAUAAGCAUCGUGUGGGCUCCUGCUUGCAAAGAACUCUUUCCUCCCAGGAAAAUUAAAUUUGUUGGACAGCAAUAGCUUCCUUUUCCCUGUGUCUUAUUAAACAAGGAUGAUGCAACUACCAAGCAA